UGCCUAUGAUGUUUGAGAUUGUCCGUACCAUCUGAGUUACUCGUUGAUGAGUCGUAUGCUCUAUUGUCUGAGGCUU
rfam:Arabis alpina cultivar Pajares scaff_62749_1_contig_0, whole genome shotgun sequence.